GAGCAGAAGGUGGAUUUAAAGUAGAAGGAUGUAGUGAAAACUGUACGGGUCAGGACUGGCACCAGUCUCAAGCUCAGCAGGCAAAUACCAACAUGUGCUAAAGACCAUAAGGCGGGAAGGAAAAAUGUACCUGCAAAAAAAACUUCCUUUAGGAAGUUAUGAAGUCUUUUUUUGCUUGGAACAUGCGAGGAUUCAAUAUGCCUCGCAAACAUAAGAAAGUUAGAAGAUGGGUUCAAGAGGAAAAGUUCUUAUGCGGUUGUUUAUUGGAGACAAGGGUUCAAAGGGAUAAUUAUGAAACUUG
rnacentral:lncRNA from 1 species